rfam:Myotis davidii contig67044, whole genome shotgun sequence.
GGUGGUUCUUGGGUGACACACCCUGGAAUUGGUCUCCCUCCUCUCUGGUUCUAGGGUGCAUCACCUGAGAACCGCU